rnacentral:rRNA from 1 species
GAUGAACGCUAGCUACAGGCUUAACACAUGCAAGUCGAGGGACCGGCGCACGGGUGAGUAACAAGUAUCCAACCUGCCCUUUACUCGGGGAUAGCCUUUCGACAGAAAGAUUAAUACCCGAUAUAAAGGAUGGGGAUGCGUUCCCUUAGGUUGUUGGUGAGGUAACGGCUCACCAAGCCUUCGAUGGAUAGGGGUUCUGAGAGGAAGGUCCCCAACAUUGGAACUGAGGCACGGUCCAAACUCCUACGGGAGGCAGCAGUGAGGAAUAUGGGUGAAUGGGCGGUAGCCUGAACCAGCCAAGUAGCGUGAAGGAUGAAGGCUUAUGGGUCGUAAACUUCUUUUAUAGAAGAAGAGGUAUUAUAGUAAUAAGGAUCGGCUAACUCCGUGGCAGCAGCCGCGGUAAUAC